rnacentral:rRNA from 1 species
GAUGAACGCUGGCGGCGUGCCUAAUACAUGCAAGUCGAGCGAACAGACGAGGAGCUUGCUCCUCUGACGUUAGCGGCGGACGGGUGAGUAACACGUGGAUAACCUACCUAUAAGACUGGGAUCACUUCGGGAAACCGGAGCUAAUACCGGAUAAUAUAUUGAACCGCAUGGUUCAAUAGUGAAAGACGGUUUUGCUGUCACUUAUAGAUGGAUCCGCGCCGCAUUAGCUAGUUGGUAAGGUAACGGCUUACCAAGGCAACGAUGCGUAGCCGACCUGAGAGGGUGGUCGGCCACACUGGAACUGAGACACGGUCCAGACUCCUACGGGAGGCAGCAGUAGGGAAUCUUCCGCAAUGGGCGAAAGCUUGACGGAGCAACGCCGCGUGAGUGAUGAAGGUCUUCGGAUCGUAAAACUCUGUUAUUAGGGAAGAACAAAUGUGUAAGUAACUAUGCACGUCUUGACGGUACCUAAUCAGAAAGCCACGGCUAACUACGUG